rnacentral:rRNA from 1 species
GACGAACGCUGGCGGCGUGCCUAAUACAUGCAAGUUGAGCGCUGAAGGUUGGUCCUUGUACCAACUGGAUGAGCAGCGAACGGGUGAGUAACGCGUGGGGAAUCUGCCUUUGAGCGGGGGACAACAUUUGGAAACGAAUGCUAAUACCGCAUAAAAACUUUAAACACAAGUUUUAAGUUUGAAAGAUGCAAUUGCAUCACUCAAAGAUGAUCCCGCGUUGUAUUAGCUAGUUGGUGAGGUAAAGGCUCACCAAGGCGAUGAUACAUAGCCGACCUGAGAGGGUGAUCGGCCACAUUGGGACUGAGACACGGCCCAAACUCCUACGGGAGGCAGCAGUAGGGAAUCUUAGGAAAGGGACGAAAGUCUGACCGAGCAACGCCGCGGGAGUGAAGAAGGUUGUCGGAUCGUAAAACUCGGUUGGUAGAGAAGAACGUUGGUGAGAGUGGAAAGCUCAUCAAGUGACGGUAACUACACAGAAAGGGACGGCUAACUACGUG